AUUGAACGCUGGCGGCAUGCCUUACACAUGCAAGUCGAACGGUAACGGGCCUUCGGGUGCCGACGAGUGGCGAACGGGUGAGUAAUGUAUCGGAACGUACCUUUCAGUGGGGGAUAACGUAGCGAAAGUUACGCUAAUACCGCAUAUUCUGUGAGCAGGAAAGCAGGGGAUCGCAAGACCUUGCGCUGAUUGAGCGGCCGAUAUCAGAUUAGCUAGUUGGUGAGGUAAAGGCUCACCAAGGCGACGAUCUGUAGCGGGUCUGAGAGGAUGAUCCGCCACACUGGAACUGAGACACGGUCCAGACUCCUACGGGAGGCAGCAGUGGGGAAUUUUGUACAAUGGGGGCAACCCUGAUCCAGCCAUGCCGCGUGAGUGAAGAAGGCCUUCGGGUUGUAAAGCUCUUUCGGCCGAGAAGAAAUCGUAUCAGCUAAUACCUGGUGCGGAUGACGGUACCGGCAUAAGAAGCACCGGCUAACUACGUGCCAGCAGCCGCCGUAACAC
rnacentral:rRNA from 1 species